UUUAUUAUUAUUCAGUUUUGUAUGUUAAUAUCUCAGUCCGAUUGAGAGAGACCAAGAUGUCCGAUCUUCUUCGCCAAAGGCGACGUGGAAAAUUAGUGUUCAUCCUCUGCUUCUAUCUCUAACGAAUCUAGACCAAAAAUAGAGUUUUAGGAUGUUGAGUGAGACGUAUCGUCGUGAGGAGUUUCCGUGCCAAGCUUUGGUUGUGUCGUUUAGUCUUCUGUUUUUAUCCCCUGAAACGUUACGAGAGUAGGUGAAUUUUCAACUAUUUAUAUGUGAGGUUGUAUCCGUGAAAUUCAUCAGUUCUCUUUAGAAUUUGAAUCCACCGAGCCUUUUGAAUUCUCCGAUGAUGGUGGUGAAGGAGUGAGAGCAGCUUGCAUUCGCAUCAGGUGUCGACGGACACGAAGAGCCCUGUCUCGGUUGUUUACCUCAGAGUGAAGAAGAACGCCCAUGUGAGAGACUAUGAUUUGAUGAUGAUCAGAAAUUUCUCAGAGGAUGUUCAUCAGGGAGUUGGCCAAUCUACAGACUUAUUGCCAAGGACUAUGAUUCCGAUAAGGGAGUUUAAGCACUGGAUAUAAAAGGUCUUUAAAAACAUUACGUGUUUGGGGAAGAAGAUUUUGGAGGAGAAAUGGAUAAGUUUGAAGCAUAACGUCAAGCUGAGUUUGAGCUUCUUCAUAUUUUUCAAGAAGAAGAGGGUAACUAUUUCAAGCUCAUGGAGACUUCAGAGAAGAGUGAUGAUUUAGAAGGAACUAGGUUCAGACACGUGUUCAUGACCAUUGGAGUAACAACAAGGAUUAUGUCCUUAUGAGCUGGAGAGAAGGCUACAUGAGCUCAUGGAGAAUAGACAAUAGACUAUAUAAAAGAGCUGCAGACUUCAUUAGAAGACGCUAAUAAAAGUCUUCAUGUCAUAGAAGCUGAAGUUUCUUGGUGGAAAGACAUUGUAUGUGUAUAUGUAGGCUAUGAGCAUAUACGGUCUAAAAUCAACUCUAACUAACAAAAUAGUUGUUACUCUCUCAAUAAGUAAGAAAUCCAAUGUUUCAAGUUU